rnacentral:tRNA from 1 species
GCCUUCGUGGUGUAGUGGUCUGCACGCUGGGCCGGAAUUCCAGAGGUCCCUGGUUCGAUUCCCGGCGAAGGCA